rnacentral:rRNA from 1 species
CAGCCGCCGCAGUAAUACGUAGGGUGCGAGCGUUAAUCGGAUUUACUGGGCGUAAAGCGUGCGCAGGCGGCCCGUUAAGACAGGUGUGAAAUCCCUGGGCUCAACCUAGGAAUUGCGCUUGUGACUGGCGGGCUCGAGUACGGUAGAGGGGGGUGGAAUUCCUGGUGUAGCAGUGAAAUGCGUAGAGAUCAGGAGGAACACCGAUGGCGAAGGCAGCCCCCUGGGCCUGUACUGACGCUCAUGCACGAAAGCGUGGGGAGCAAACAGGAUUAGAUACCCUGGUAGUCCACGCCCUAAACGAUGGGUACUAGCCGUUUGGUGCGCGAUAGCGCUGAGUGGCGAAGCUAACGCGAGAAGUACCCCGCCUGGGGAGUACGGCCGCAAGGUUGAAACUUAAAGGAAUUGGCGGG